UGGGGAAUAUUGCACAAUGGGCGAAAGCCUGAUGCAGCAACGCCGCGUGAGGGACGACGGCCUUCGGGUUGUAAACCUCUUUUAGCAGGGAAGAAGCGAAAGUGACGGUACCUGCAGAAAAAGCACCGGCUAACUACGUG
rnacentral:rRNA from 2 species